CCUGUAGUGGCACCACAGACCACGUCCUGCCACAGAGUAUAAGGAUGUUUAAAAGAUGCUGCAGAAAGCUGCAUCUGGUCAGACGGAAAAACACACAAACUCGGAUGAGUGUGUGGCGGAGGUGUGGUUCCUGGCUCAGCUGCAGGGGUGGAGCUCACUGCAGGCUCCCGCCCUUGGCACACACACCUGCAUCUCGUCAGGCUCUAAUUAUGGGUUGGACUCUUGAGGCCGGGACGCAGACAGCCUCACCGCUGGAUGAUUGUGCUAGACCUUUUCCCCGGACCCGUAGCCAAUCUGUUGUUUGAACCGUUGUAAAGAAGAAGAGCUAGCGUGUAUGUGACUCCUUUCCCGGACUUCCCUUUCGGACCCAGGAUCCCCGCUCCCCUCACUGUAUAUAUCUGCACCUGGUGACUGUGUAAAUAAACGUUGCU